GGGGCCGAUCUGGAUUCGACGUGGAUUGCGAAACAGCGUAGAGCAUGCCGAGCACCAGUAAGCUCGUAAAUCCACUGGAACACUACAAACGCAAACGACUCGCGUUUCGCUUUAGCCGCUUAGUUGCGGUAAGCCGCUGCACCGGUUUGUCUUUGGACCGGGUGGGGUAAAACCUACAGCAGCGUCACUUACAAAGAAUCGGGGCUAAUCAGGUCGCUGGGUUAGCACUUAAACAAAACGCGAAUCGCCAGGAAAGGGCCCGUCAGUUGGCAUGAGUCCACGGUUAAAACUUAAAAUGAUCUGACUACGCAUGUAGAACUACCUGUAGAGGAUUUGCGGACGCGGGUUCAAUUCCCGCCGGCUCCACCA
rnacentral:tmRNA from 1 species